rnacentral:rRNA from 1 species
GAUGAACGCUGGCGGCGUGCCUAAUACAUGCAAGUCGAGCGAACAGACGAGGAGCUUGCUCCUCUGACGUUAGCGGCGGACGGGUGAGUAACACGUGGAUAACCUACCUAUAAGACUGGGAUAACUUCGGGAAACCGGAGCUAAUACCGGAUAAUAUAUUGAACCGCAUGGUUCAAUAGUGAAAGACGGUUUUGCUGUCACUUAUAGAUGGAUCCGCGCCGCAUUAGCUAGUUGGUAAGGUAACGGCUUACCAAGGCAACGAUGCGUAGCCGACCUGAGAGGGUGAUCGGCCACACUGGAACUGAGACACGGUCCAGACUCCUAAGGGAGGCAGCAGUAGGGAAUCUUGCGCAAUGGGCGGAAGCCUGACGGAGCAACGCCGCGUGGGUGAAGAAGGUCUUCGGAUUGUAAAACCCUGUUAUUAGGGAAGAACAAAUGUGUAAGUAACUAUGCACGUCUUGACGGUACCUAAUCAGAAAGCCACGGCUAACUACGUG